GACGGGGGUCCUGAGCGUUGUUCGGAAUCAUUGGCGUAAAGCGUGUGCAGGUGGUUUUGGUAAGUUGGAUGUGAAAGCCUUGGGCUUAAACCCAAGAAGGGCAUUCAAAACUACCAAACUUGAGUAAGGGAAGGAGGGUCGUGGAAUUCCAGGUGUAGUGGUGAAAGUACGUAGAUAUCUGGAGAACACCGGUGGCGAAGGACGGCGACCUGGUCCUAUACUGACACU
rnacentral:rRNA from 1 species